ACCGGAAUGGCGAAAUGGCAGACGCACGGGACUUAAAAUCCCGGGAGUUAAUAGCUCGUGCCGGUUCAAGUCCGGUUUCCGGUACCA
rnacentral:tRNA from 1 species